GACGAACCGUGCGAACGUUGUUCGGAAUCACUGGGCUUAAAGGGCGCGUAGGCGGGCGGGCAAGUCAGGGGUGAAAUCCCACGGCUCAACCGUGGAAGUGCCUUUGAUACUGCCGGUCUGGAGGGAGGUAGGGGCGUGCGGAACUUCCGGUGGAGCGGUGAAAUGCGUAGAUAUCGGAAGGAACACCGGUGGCGAAAGCGGCGCGCUGGACCUCUACUGACGCUGAGGCGCGAAAGCUAGGGGAGCGAACAGG
rnacentral:rRNA from 1 species